rnacentral:rRNA from 1 species
UUGACGGUACCCUACUAGAAAGGAGCCGCUAACUUCGUGCCAGAAGCGUCGGUAAUACGGGGGCUCCAAGCGUUAUCCGGUGUUAUUGGGCGUAAAGAGUCGUGUAGGUGGUUGGGUAAGUUAUCUUUCAAAUAUCUUUGCUUAACAAAGAGGAGGGGGAUAAUACUGCUCGACUAGAAUUUUCUCAAGGGAGAUCGGAACUGAGGGAGGAGUAGUGAAAUGCGUUGAUACCCUCGGGAACACCAGUGGCGUAGGCGGAUCUCUGGGAGAAGAUUGACACUGAGACACGAAAGCUAGGGGAGCGAAGCAGAUUAGAGACCUGCGUAGUCCUAGCCGUAAACGCAUGCUUGCUAGCUGCAUGAAUCUACCUUCGGGUGGUAUCGUGUGGCGAAGGUAACCCGUUAAGCAAGCCGCCUGGAAAGUACGGCCGCAAGGCUGAAAUUCAAAGGAAUUGGCGGGGAGGCACACAACCAGUGGAACAUGUGGUUUAAUUCGAGACUAACCGAAGCACCUCACCAGGGUUUGACAUGUAGCUGCACGUCUUAAGAAAUUAAGACUCUCUUGAAGGUGCUACACAGGUGCUGCAUGGCUGUCGUCAGCUCGUUCCGUGAGGAGUGCCCUUAAGUGGGACAACGAGCGCAACCCCUAUUACAUGUUAGAAAUGUCAUGUAAGACUGCCUUGCCAUUUGGCGGGGAGGAAGGAGGGGCAGACGUCAAGUCCGCAUGGUCCUUAUGCCCUGGGCUACACACAUGUUACAAUGAGUACGGCAAUGAGUCUGUCGCGAGCACGUAAGUGUAAGCUAAUCUCUUAAAUGUACUCUCAGUGGGGAUUGAGGUCUGCAACUCGACCUCAUGAACACGGAAUUGGUAGUAAUCGCGGGUCAGCUAUACCGCGGUGAAUACGUUCUUGCCUCUUGCACACACCGCCCGUCAAACCAGCAAAGU